UACGAAGGGGGCUAGCGUUGCUCGGAAUUACUGGGCGUAAAGGGCGCGUAGGCGGAUAGUUUAGUCAGAGGUGAAAGCCCAGGGCUCAACCCUGGAAUUGCCUUUGAUACUGGCUAUCUUGAGUUCGGGAGAGGUGAGUGGAACUCCGAGUGUAGAGGUGAAAUUCGUGGAUAUUCGGAAGAACACCAGUGGCGAAGGCGACUCACUGGCCCGAUACUGACGCUGAGGCGCGAAAGCGUGGGGAGCAAACAGG
rnacentral:rRNA from 1 species